UGCUAACAAGGUUUCCGUAGGUGAACCUGCGGAAGGAUCAUUAAAAAAAGAGAAACGUCCCGUUUUUUUCAUAAGAAUGGGUUCUAUUCCCUUAAACCGUGUCUACAUACCUUUGUUGCUUUGGCAGGCCGCCUUCGGGCGUCGGCUCCGGCUGAUAGUGCCUGCCAGAGGACCCAAACUCUAUGUUUAGUGAUGUCUGAGUACUAUAUAAUAUUUAAAACUUUCAACAACGGAUCUCUUGGUUCUGGCAUCGAUGAAGAACGCAGCGAAAUGCGAUAAGUAAUGUGAAUUGCAGAAUUCAGUGAAUCAUCGAAUCUUUGAACGCACAUUGCGCCCCUUGGUAUUCCGAGGGGCAUGCCUGUUCGAGCGUCAUUAUAACCACUCAAGCCUGGCUUGGUAUUGGGGUUUUCGCGUGUUCGCGGCCCUUAAAAUCAGUGGCGGUGCCGUCUGGCUCUAAGCGUAGUAAUUUCUCUCGCUAUAGGGUUCCGGUGGUUACUUGCCAAAACCCCCCAUUUUUUCUAGGUUGACCUCGGAUCAGGUAGGGAUAC
rnacentral:rRNA from 1 species